CAAUAGCGUAUAUUAAAGUUGUUGCAGUUAAAAAGCUCGUAGUUGGAUUUCGGGGCCCCGGGCGUUCGUUGCGUUUCCCGCUGGACUCGUUUCGGUGGGUGCGUGGCGGGCGUCGGUCUCUGAGUCGGAUCGGUCCGCCGAGAGGCGUGUACUGACCGACGGCCCCUGUUGUCUCUCGGGUUGCCCGCCUGCUCUUAACUGUUGCGGACGGGGAGUUCGGGACGUUUACUUUGAACAAAUUAGAGUGUUCCAAGCAGGCCGAUUGCUUUGAAUACAUUAGCAUGGAAUAAUGGAAUAGGGCUGCGUGACUCGUCGUCUUCGGGCGGCGGGUCCUCGUGUCCUAUUUUGUUGGUUUUCGGGACCGCAGUCAUGGUCAAGAGGGACAGUUGGGGGCAUUCGUAUUCAGUUGUCAGAGGUGAAAUUCUUGGAUUUACGGAAGACGAACAACUGCGAAAGCAUUUGCCAAGGAUGUUUUCAUUGA
rnacentral:rRNA from 1 species